rnacentral:misc_RNA from 1 species
GAUGAAGAACGCAGCGAAAUGCGAUAAGUAGUGUGAAUUGCAGAAUUCAGUGAAUCAUCGAAUCUUUGAACGCACAUUGCGGCCAUAGGUAUUCCUUUGGCCAUGCCUGUUCGAGCGUCAUUUACACCCUCAAGCCUAGCUUGGUAUUGGGCGUCUGUCCCGCCGUUCUCGCGCGCGGACUCGCCUCAAAGUCAUUGGCGGCGGUCGUGCCGGCCCCCUCGCGCAGCACAUUUGCGCUUCUCGGAGGCCCGGCGGAUCCGCGCUCCAGCAAGACCUUUCACGACUUGACCUCGGAUCAGGUAGGGAUACCCGCUGAACUUAAGCAUAUCAAUAAGCGGAGGA